AUACGGAGGGUGCGAGCGUUAAUCGGAAUUACUGGGCGUAAAGCGUGCGUAGGCGGUUGGUUAAGUUAGAUGUGAAAGCCCCGGGCUUAACCUGGGAACUGCAUUUAAAACUGGCGAACUAGAGUUGAGUAGAGGGGAGUGGAAUUUCAGGUGUAGCGGUGAAAUGCGUAGAGAUCUGAAGGAACACCAGUGGCGAAGGCGACUCCCUGGACUCGAACUGACGCUGAGGUACGAAAGCGUGGGUAGCAAACGGGAUUAGAAACCCCAGUAGUCC
rnacentral:rRNA from 1 species